rnacentral:rRNA from 1 species
UACGUAGGGUGCGAGCGUUAAUCGGAAUUACUGGGCGUAAAGCGUGCGCAGGCGGGCUUUUAAGCCAGACGUGAAAUCCCCGGGCUUAACCUGGGAAUUGCGCUCGAAACUAUGGUGCUGGAGUGUGGCAGAGGAAGGUGGAAUUCCAGGUGUAGCGGUGAAAUGCGUAGAGAUCUGGAGGAACACCGAUGGCGAAGGCAGCCUUCUGGGCCAACACUGACGCUCAUGCACGAAAGCGUGGGGAGCAAACAGG